CUCAAUCUCCAUUUCCUCCUCCAUCUCUUUGGUAAAUACAAUUUGGUGUCAAGUUGACUCUGGGGGUCCGGGAACCUCACAAAACGCAGGGCAUCCCAGUCACUGCUCCCCUUUCUGGCCCUCUCCUGGUUUCCAGAUUGUCACCCUGGGGAAUGGCGUCCCAGCCCCUGGGAACAUGUCUCAGAACAGCCUGACCCCGCUGAUGGCAGCUUGCCAUUCUGGCCCCAUGGGGCUUCGCUCGGGGCCUUCCCUGUGUGCGAGGCCUGCCCACCUGUUCCCUAGAUGCCUGGGUAAGUACAGGGCCCCACCCACAGGACGUGGGAGAAGGGCAAGCUCAGCCAGCCCCACUUGAGCCCUGAGAUUCAUCCCAAAUGCAGGGCCGCUGUGCUUGGAACAUGCACGCCAGUUGUCCCAAGGACACAAAAGCGUUUGACAGUAAAAAAAACGAUUGUGAUAGUUUUUGUGGAAAACAGGGAAGAAAAGAAAAACGUUCAUUCAACUGUUUGCUUCUAUUUGCAUAAAGAAACUCUGGCCAGAUAGGCUUCAAGAAUAAGCCAGACUUGAAUAUCAAAGUCCCAAGGAAUGAAAUGAAGAAACACAUGCUGGCUUUGAACCCAGGAGGCAGCCCCAUGCCGCAGCAGCCCCAGAGGAAAAAAAUCCAGACACGAAAAGAAAAAGUAAACUCUGCGUGGGACUGCUCAUUUUAAUUUCCAGAAGAGAAAAGAGCCUUCCUGACUCAGAGACAUGUCACAGUGAAGGCUACCCAGCAACCACAGGCCUGUCUGUAACACGUGGUGAGCACCCUGGAGGUUGUGGCGAGGCUGUGGGCCUGGAGAAGGGGAGCCAGCAGCACGGCACUGGCCAAAGACUGGACCCCUGGCCAGGCUCCCUGGUGUCUGAUUUGGCUUCUCCGAAGCAAAACAUCUUUUCUGCAAAAACGCGGGAACAUGAGGGCAGGUUGUGUGUAUCUGUUCACUUCUGUGUCCCCAGCCCCAGCAUGUGCCAGACACUCACUGAGCAUUUGUGUAGUUUAUUGAAUAAUGACUCUUUUUACAAACUCCCUUGAAGGGGAGCAAGAAUUAUCCCUCUGCCCUCUAGGUCCUUCUGGCGGGUCUAAGAAUUAAAUUUAUGUGAGACAGAAUAACAGGAGAAAUCAAACAAAUUUAGUAACAUGUAUACAUGGGAGAAACCGG
rnacentral:lncRNA from 1 species